GUCUCUCUCACUUCCGCUCAAUCGGCUUUUGGCCAAAGACGAGUAUCUUCUUCCUGGACUGCCUUCUCCCACCCCAACCCAGACACCAAGGGGACGCGACAGCGGUUUUGGGACGCUGGCUGAUCAUCUGAGAGGAGGCGAUCCCGGCCCCGCUGGGCGUUCAGGAUCCCGAUCUGGAUGCCGUCCACCCCGCCCCGCCGGGGGCUGGGGCGAAAGCGGAACAAGUCGGCGGGGCUGGUUGGGCCGCGACCUCCGGGGCACGUGGCCGCAGACAGUGCCCGUGCCGGGGCGGGGAGGCGAGUUCUCCCUGCGGCCGCGGACCCUGGAUGGUGGCGUCGCCCGAAGACGCGCCUCACCGGCCUGGGUGGGGUUGCCUUUUGCCCUCGAGGCUGGCCUAAGCGCUGGGGGGCCGCUGGCUAACCCUGAGGCUUCUAAUGUGAGGAAAAACACGGAAUGACAAGUGUGGGAAAGAGCAAGCACUAAAUUACUGUCAGAAAAAUAAACGGAGUAGCACAGUGCUGCUCGGUGAUUUACGGGGGCAAUUAGUCACCACCCCACGGCGCUGCUGAGGACAGCACGGCAGCAGACAAGUCAGGCCCAUGAGGAAGAAGAGGCUUUGCACUGCUCUCCAGACAACUUUUCAAACAACAAGAGAGGAUAUUUGAGCACAUUAGGUUUUGUGUCUUCAUUCUGGGUACCUACUCUUCAUAUUAUUCUACCAACUUAAUACAUAAACAUAUUUUUAGCACAAUAUGAACCUGUUCUAUGUGUGUUUAAAAGCCUCCAGCAGCAACUUUUUUCUCUCCCACUGUCCAAAGUUGGGUUUUCCCCAUCCCUUAAAAAACAAAACAAAAAAACCUUUCUUCACUCCAAAUUGUCCCCCUGGUGUGUGGUUUUGGUCUUUCUCAUUACUUCUUGCAUCUUGCUACAUGUUCUGCAUUUGCUCAGAGCCACUGGGUGCUAAGGAAUUUGGUCUGCUGCUCCUCUGGGAAAGUUUGGUAAGCUGGUACAAGGAGGUGAUGAACAAGGCUAAAUGAAAAUCAUACAUAAACUUCCCAAUAUUUGUGAACAUGUUCUUUAACAUACCAUACAUAGUUUCUAUGUAUAUGUAACAUAGCAAAACAAACUUGCUAAGGUAUAAUUAAUUGGUAUGCAUGCCUUCAUAAAUAUUCACCAUCAGAAGAAACCUAGAAUGAAAGGUUGUGAAAGAACCCAGGAAUGAGAAAGACUUUAUUGACUAAAGGCCAUGUCUAUGUAGGGGCAACAAUGAAGCUGUGGGUGAGCAAAUGAAGCUUCAUCAGGAGUUUAGUAUCCUUAUGUAGCAUUACCUAAGAAUGCUACCAUAGUAAAUUUCUGAAGUACUUUACCUGUUACAAAGAACGUUUGUAAUCUCCUUUUCUUAUUUGAUCUUGCCCUGGCUUUAGUCAGGAACACCUGCUCAGUUAGAAAUGUAUUCGGUGGGUAUGUACGCAGUUGGAGAAUGUGCCCCAACACACGCCGCCUUUGGCCUGUAUGUUGGAGUCCUAGAGAGGCAGACAAUGUUGAUGAGCUUGGUACCAGCAUGGUGCGCCAUUCAUCCGGACACAAUUUCUGAUAAAGAGGGUCACAACUGGGAGAAACCUCAGAUUCUACUUGCUUCUCUUCUCCACGUUAUUAGACUUUUUUUCCCCUCUUGAAUUUUAUAAGCACACUCCUUUUAAAACAAUUAAUUAAUAACGAGCACUGGGAUUUGAUGUAGAAUUGCGUAUUUGUAACUGCAAUGGCACUGGUUUUCAACUACCCUGUAACAAGGAAGCAAUUCUAACCAGCAAAAGAGGCAGACGUGUUUCUGUGCAACAUCACAGGCGUGUGAAAUUGUUCAGAUAUUGAGAUAUCAGGAGUGAUAUAAAUUGGAAAUUUAACCAAAAAUAUUUUCCAUCAGUGAACAAAGCCGAUUUUAAAGUGCCUCUUGCAUUUUUCAGAUCUUUCUCUUUCUUUUUCCCAAAGUCACAUUGUAGUUUCUGAUAAAGGAACACACUGGGAAAACUAAGCACAUAUUUAAUCAAUGAAAUUUAAGGUGUAAAAAUUCUGCAUUUCUGACAAAUUUAAUGUUCACUUUUUUCUUGAUUUAAAUAGAGCAUUCUAAAAAUAUUACCCCUAUAGGGGAUAAAUUUUUAUAUGCAUGUUAUUUUUCUUUACAAAGUGUGGGCUAGUAAAGAGUGAAAAAGACCUUGGCUAUUGUACUUAUUUCUUGAAAGAAAUAAUAGCAUCUUAAUGACUGGAUUCAAAUCUCUGCUUAUCACACAACUUCCGUACAGUUCAAAGAGAGGACUUGGAUUGAAUGAAAACAGAGAGCUGGGGCUUCCUACAUUCCCCUGUGUUUGUGUUCAUACAGAAUAUUUAUGCAAUAUUCUGACUUGGCCAUAAUCUGUAAUUCCUGCCUAUUAUUCUCAGUUGCAACUAUAAAUUCUAGAUUAAUGGUUAUAAUUUUGGUAAGGCAUACAUGAA
ensembl:lncRNA LINC02609 long intergenic non-protein coding RNA 2609